UCAUUGCUGGAACAAACGCCCUCACGGGUGCUACCCAGAAACCCUUUGUGAACUAUACCUUUUGUUGCCUCGGCAUUUGGUUGGCUUUGAACAAAGUCCCUUGCCUCCCCCCCCCUUUCCGGGAGGGGGCACGGAGCAGACCGGCCGACGGCCCCUAUAAACUCUUGUUUUUGUAUCAUCUUCUGAGUAAACAACUAUAAAUGAAUCAAAACUUUCAACAACGGAUCUCUUGGUUCUGGCAUCGAUGAAGAACGCAGCGAAAUGCGAUAAGUAAUGUGAAUUGCAGAAUUCAGUGAAUCAUCGAAUCUUUGAACGCACAUUGCGCCCGGUGGUAUUCCACCGGGCAUGCCUGUUCGAGCGUCAUUUCAACCCUCAGAAGCCUGGCUUUUGGUGUUGGAGGAAUACCUGUAAAAGGGUACCCUCUGAAAUUUAGUGGCGGGCUCGCUAGAAUUUUGAGCGUAGUAAUUUUACCUCGUUUUUAAAGACUAGUGGGACUUCUUGCCGUAAAACCCCCCAACUUUCUGA
rnacentral:rRNA from 1 species